UUCUUUUAAGCUUGAAAGAUUUGGGCUUUCUUAAUCAAGGAAAACAAAGGUGAGUAAUUUUAAUUGCUUGAUUUUGCUGUAAAUUAGGGUUAAUGAUAUGAAAUUGUUGAUGAUUAUGUGUUUUGAAAUUGUUUAAUCAAAAGUAAACAUGCUUUUACUUGUGAUCUUGAAGCUGAAAUUUCUGGGCAGAUUUUUCACUUAUGAUUUCGUGACCUUAGAGGCUUUAUCUCGAAAAUUUUCAAACAUGAAAGUUGUAGGUAUAUGUCUCAAGAAUAUCUCUGUAAAAUGGUUUUGCAGAUUGUUGAGUGAGUAGGAACUUAUGAGGUUCGAUUUUGCUGCUGCUCUGUUUUUGGUUCAGCAGGUGACCUGGUUUUUGUGCUGACAUUUUGAGGCAUUUAGAGGCUGAACCAAGCAGAGAGUUAAACAUGAAAGUUGUUCAUUUAUAUAUGUAGUAUAUGUCUGAAAAAUUUCAUAAUUUUUGGUUGAGUAUAACGUGAGAUAUGUUGAACUUAAUAUGGCCUGCCCGAAACUGUUUUAAGCAGAAAUCGGGCUUAGGAUUCAAAAAUUUGUUGCUAAUUGUGUGUUUCACAACUUGAGCUAGAAAAGUCUAAAUUGAGUAAAAUUAGUGUCUAUAGAAACUUUAGAAUGUUAACUUUAUAUCUGAAGAGUUUCAUCAGAAAAUUCAUUUGUUUGAUUGGUCAUUUAAUAGGAAACUUUUUUUUCUGUUCUGUUUAGAUGGAAAUUUGAGCAGCUGUAUAGAAAAUGCCAUAACUAUUUCUAUACCAAUGAUUUUGAGGUGAUUCUUUCUGCUAUGGUUUCUAUAAAAAUGGAAGUGUAAUUCUGGAAAAUAUGAGAUUUUUAUUAAUUGUACAUAAGUUUUGGUGUAAUUUCUAAGUCAGUACCUACAAGCUGCCUUCAUCAACAAAUAUGUUGAUUUGUUGUCAUUCAUCUCAUGCAUCAUAUUAAUAUCUAGAAUAUAUGUUAUUUUGUUGAAAUGUGAUAUUUUAUUGAUAGUAAAUAUAUAUAUAUAUAUAUAUUUAUGCCUUGUGAUUGAAUUGUAUUUGUAUUGAAUAUGUGAAUAGGUUCAUCCAAAGGCAAGGAAGUGGUAAGAGAAAAAGAAUAGGAUUACUUUGUUAUCCUAUAACUUCUGGUAAGUAUUUAAUAGACUAAACUUUGUGUAUAUUGAGUAGGGACUGCUGUUUGAUUACUUGAUAAUUUCUUGAUUGACUGAGUUGAUAUUAGUUAUGUUUUUGGCUUGUUAUAAAGUGAAUUGAUUGUGAUGUGUUGUGAAGUGAAUUGAUUGUGAUGUGUUGUGAAGUGAAAUGAUUGUGAUUAAGGAUUGAUGACUUUUGUAUGGAUAUUGUGUGAUCGGGAAAGCUGAGCCGGGCGGAUAGCUACCCGAGUAUGUGAGAUGGCAAGACUGAGCCGGGCGGAUAGUCUUGUCAAGUGGUUACUGAAAUUUAAAAAUGUGAGAAAAUGUAAGGAUGAGUCAUCUGAUCCUAAUUUGAUAGAAAUAAUGUGGAAUUGAAUUAUUUGACUUGGUUGAGUUUGAGAUUAUUUGCAUUACGUGAGAUGAAAUUAUAUGUUUAUGAGAAUAACUGAAAUGGUUGAUUUUGUGAUUGUUAGUUAAGUGUUGGUAUAAUUUUCUGUAUUGAUAAAGAUUUGAUAAUUCUAGCCUAAUAUACUAUAGUUUAGUAAAUUAAAUGCUUAUUGAGUCGCUAGCUCAUUCCUUAGCAAUUUUUUUUUUCAGGUUAGUGCAGUUGUAGAUAGUCUUAGCUGUGCAUUGCUCUUUUUGCAUCAGUCAAUAUUAUCAGGUGGGCCAGAGGAGUUAUCUAAAGCAUUGGGGCAUUUUGGGAACUUGUGUGAAUUAAACUACUGUAUAAAUAUUUCUUAUAUAUAUUAAGUAUGUCAUGCCA
rnacentral:lncRNA from 1 species